GACGAACGCUGGCGGCGUGCUUAACACAUGCAAGUCGAACGGAAAGGCCCUGCUUUUGUGGGGUGCUCGAAUGGCGAACGGGUGAGUAACACGUGAGUAACCUGCCCUUGACUUUGGGAUAACUUCAGGAAACUGGGGCUACUACCGGAUAGGAGCUCCUGCUGCAUGGUGGGGGUUGGACAAUUUCGGCGGAUGGGGAUGGACUGGCGGCUUAUUAGCUUGUUGGUGGGGUAUUGGCUUACCCAGGGUUUGACUGGUAGCCGGCCUGAGAGGGUGAUCGGCCACAUUGGGACUGAGAGACGGCCCAGUCUCCUACGGGAGGCAGCAGUGGGGAAUAUUGCACAAUGGGCGGAAGCCUGAUGCAGCAACGCCGCGUGCGGGAUGACGGCCUUCGUGUUGUAAACCGCUUUCGCCUGUGACGAAGCGUGAGUGACGGUAAUGGGUAAAGAAGCACCGGCUAACUACGUG
rnacentral:rRNA from 1 species